ensembl:lncRNA
ACUCUGAGCAAAUCAUUGGCUAUUCAUGUCCUCUAUAUACUGUCUCCAUCGAAGUGGAAUGGAGAAGCUCACAUCAUGACUGUUGAAUGACUAAGUUACAGUUUGACAGCAUGAUCAUCACCUCAUUUAUUAAAUCUACUGAACAUUAUAACAUCAUUAGGAUACUUAGUAGGUCAACUGUCCUCACACUGACAUAGAGGGGAGAGGUACUGUGUAAUGAACUGUCAAUAGACCCGGUGGAUUUUCCCAGAGUGCCGGUGAAGUGUAUAAUUAUUUGGGACCCAUCCAAACUCUCUAGCUAAUUAACUUACAAGUCAAAAGUCAUCAGAUUACCUCUAAUAAGUGCGUGAGAGAUUUCUGUUCAAAGCAAGGGGGGGGGGUUGGGGGGGGGUUGAAUUUCCUGUUUUCUAAUCCUUACUGUGAUUUGUGUUUGAGCUGUUAUGAAAUAAAACAGCAUUUCCCCUCUCAGAGUAAAGGGACAAAUAACACAUAUUGGCUGAUCGGACACAAGAACUACAGUGUUCAGAAGGACAGCCUGGUGUGUCACUGGAACCCAAAUCUUGCCCGCAAGAAGAAGACACUGGAGGGGAGCGACAUUUCUAUGAUUUGCGUCCAGAACUACACUACAAGACCAAAAGUGUGUGGACACCCGCUCGUCGAACAUCUCAUUCCAAAAUCAUGGGUAUUAAUAUGGAGUUGGUCCCCCCCCCCCCCCUCUUUGCUGCAAUAACACUGAUGUUGGGCGAUUAGGCCUGGCACACAGUUGGCGUUCCAAUUCAUUCCAAAGGUGUUCGAUUGGGCUGAGGUCAGGGCUCUGUGCAGUCCAGUCAAGUUCUUCCACACCAAUCUCGACAAACCAUUUCUGUAUUUACCUCGCUUUGUGCACUGGGGCAUUGUCAUGUUGAAACAGAAAAGGACCUUCCCCAAACUUUUGCCACAAAAACAUCCCCAGACCAUUAUUCCUCCUCCACCAAACUUUACAGUUGGCACUAUGCAUUCUGGUAGUGAGUGUUGCAACCGAGGACAGACGAUUUUUACGCUAUUCGGCACUCGGCGGUCCUGUUCUGUGAGCUUGUGUGGCCUACCACUUCGCGGCUGAGCCGUUGUUGCUCCUAUACAUUUCCACUUCACAAUAAGAGCACUUACAGUUGACCGGAGCUGCUCAAGCAGGGCAGAAAUCUGACGAACUGACUAGCAAGAGACCCCGGUUUGACACACACACACACAGAGGCACAGCAGCACCAAUCCAGUCUAGGCCAGGCAUAAGUGACACGGUGACAGUUGGGUUAACAAAGAUGGGGACAUAGGAUACAUAGGAAAAAGUCUUGUCCCUAGCUAAAAUAAGUUGAACCUUUUUCAGAUCGGGAUACAACAAUCUGAAUGCACGUUAUCUAUGUAUUCACAUUAGCACUUAGCCAUCCACUAUAGUUCCCUAAUGAAAAAUAUACAUUUUAUCCCAAUGAGACUAACCAGUUGAUUCCCAUGACCGCUAUAUGAACACCUGCUGAUGAGAGGUGAUAUUUACAAGAAGCUCUUGUCAUAUGGCCCAACAAUGAAUUGCAAGCAAUCGGGGCCUUUUUGAAUGCCAAGCUUGUCAUUUACUUAAAUUAAUGCUAGCAGCAGCCAGAGACUUGACAUCUGACCUCUCAAUAACUGAGCUAAGUGUAUAAACAACACAUCUGAUUGGCUGACUGGACCUGGUGACAUAAGAAUAUUGAGUUUAUGCUGCGUUCGUAAUCAUGUUCGGAAUCAAGUGGUAAGUGGGAAUUUACCACCAUAGAGUUAGAUAAAGGACCACCAUUUUAAAGUAGUAAACUGGGUGGGCCUUCCUAUUGGUAAAGGAAGGAUCACAUGAUUCCAUCAGGAGGGAUCAGCCAAUGAAUUAUACUCCUGAGCAAACUUUCUGUAACUGUAGGUGGCAGUAAAUCCCCAACCUUUGCUUUAUACCUAUUCAAACAACACAUUUUAGCUGGCAGUAUGCACUCUUUCAGUUUGUACGAGAAAAAGAAAAUGACUACUACAAAAUGGAGAGGGCCUCAAUGGCGCUGCCCGUGCGCUCACAUACGUCAUAAUGGGACAGAUAUAAAGAUUAUAUCUCUAUCAUGCUCUAUGUUUACCAAAUAUGACUGGAAAAAUAUAUAUUUGAAUGGACCUCCAACUGGUAAUUACUGGUGGGAAACUCGUCAUUGAGCUCUAUUUAGGCCAUCUCCAUUUUGAACUAGUACAUUUUCUUCUUCUAC